GCCGCGCUUAGCUCAGUUGGCUAGAGCACCUGACUGUAGAUCAGGGGGUCCCCGGUUCAAGUCCUCUCUCGACA
rnacentral:tRNA from 1 species